UAUUCUAAGGCGCUUGAGAGAACUCUGGAGAAGGAACUCGGCAAAUUGACACCGUAACUUCGGAAGAAGGUGUGCCCCUAGUAGGUGAAGUCGUACAGACGGAGCCCAAUGGGGUCGCAGAGAAUAGGUGGCUGCGACUGUUUAUUAAAAACACAGCACUCUGCAAAGACGAAAGUCGACGUAUAGGGUGUGACGCCUGCCCGGUGCUGGAAGAUUAAAUGAUGGGGUGCAAGCUCUUGAUUGAAGUCCCAGUAAACGGCGGCCGUAACGAUAACGGUCCUAAGGUAGCGAAAUUCCUUGUCGGGUAAGUUCCGACCUGCACGAAUGGCGUAACGAUGGCCACGCUGUCUCCUCCAGAGACUCAGCGAAGUUGAAAUGUUUGUGAUGAUGCAAUCUCCCCGCGGAAAGACGAAAGACCCCAUGAACCUUUACUGUAGCUUUACAUUGGACUUUGAACAGAUCUGUGUAGGAUAGGUGGGAGGCUUUGAAGCCUGGUCGCUAGAUCAGGUGGAGCCAACGUUGAAAUACCACCCUGGUGUGUUUGAGGUUCUAACCUUGGCCCGUGAUCCGGGUUGGGGACAGUGUAUGGUGGGCAGUUUGACUGGGGCGGUCUCCUCCCAAAGCGUAACGGAGGAGUUCGAAGGUACGCUAGGCACGGUCGGAAAUCGUGCUGAUAGUGCAUUGGCAUAAGCGUGCUUGACUGCGAGACUGACAAGUCGAGCAGGUACGAAAGUAGGACAAAGUGAUCCGGUGGUUCUGUAUGGAAGGGCCAUCGCUCAACGGAUAAAAGGUACUCUGGGGAUAACAGGCUGAUACCGCCCAAGAGUUCAUAUCGACGGCGGUGUUUGGCACCUCGAUGUCGGCUCAUCUCAUCCUGGGGCUGUAGCCGGUCCCAAGGGUAUGGCUGUUCGCCAUUUAAAGAGGUACGUGAGCUGGGUUUAAAACGUCGUGAGACAGUUUGGUCCCUAUCUUCCGUGGGCGCUGCAAGAUUGAGAGAGCCUGCUCCUAGUACGAGAGGACCGGAGUGGACGCACCUCUGGUGUAUCGGUUGUCACGCCAGUGGCAUCGCCGAGUAGCUAAGUGCGGAAGAGAUAACCGCUGAAAGCAUCUAAGCGGGAAACUCGUCUCAAGAUGAGUCUUGCCGGGGCCUCGAGCCCCCUGAAGAGUCGUUCGAGACCAGGACGUUGAUAGGUCGGGUGUGGAAGCGCAGUAAUGCGUUAAGCUAACCGAUACUAAUUGCUCGUGAGGCUUGACCU
rnacentral:rRNA from 1 species